rnacentral:rRNA from 1 species
CCAGUGACUUUGUUCAACGGCCGCGGUAUCCUAACCGUGCGAAGGUAGCGUAAUCACUUGUUCUUUAAAUGAGGACUAGUAUGAAUGGCACCACGAAGGUUAUACUGUCUCCUUUCUUUAAUCAGUGAAACUAAUCUCUCCGUGAAGAAGCGGGGAUAUAAUUAUAAGACGAGAAGACCCUAUGGAGCUUUAAACGUGAGUAACAAUUGCCCGCCAUAAUAUUUUUCCCCGGAAACUAACCGCAAUACUUAGGCAUCUUGAUUACAAGUUUUAGGUUGGGGUGACCGCGGAGCAGAAAAUAACCUCCGCAGUGAAUGGAACUUACUUCCUAAACCCAGGGCUACGACCCUAAGCAUCAAUAAAUUGACACUAAUUGACCCAAUAUUUUUGAUCAAUGAACCAAGUUACCCUAGGGAUAACAGCGCAAUCCACUUCAAGAGCCCCUAUCGACAAGUGGGUUUACGACCUCGAUGUUGGAUCAGGGUAUCCCAGUGGUGCAGCCGCUACUAAAGGUUCGUUUGUUCAACGAUUAAAACCCUACGUGAUCU